AUUGAACGCUGGCGGCAGGCCUAACACAUGCAAGUCGAGCGGACGAAGGGAGCUUGCUCCUGGAUUCAGCGGCGGACGGGUGAGUAAUGCCUAGGAAUCUGCCUGGUAGUGGGGGAUAACGUCCGGAAACGGGCGCUAAUACCGCAUACGUCCUGAGGGAGAAAGUGGGGGAUCUUCGGACCUCACGCUAUCAGAUGAGCCUAGGUCGGAUUAGCUAGUUGGUGGGGUAAAGGCCUACCAAGGCGACGAUCCGUAACUGGUCUGAGAGGAUGAUCAGUCACACUGGAACUGAGACACGGUCCAGACUCCUACGGGAGGCAGCAGUGGGGAAUAUUGGACAAUGGGCGAAAGCCUGAUCCAGCCAUGCCGCGUGUGUGAAGAAGGUCUUCGGAUUGUAAAGCACUUUAAGUUGGGAGGAAGGGCAGUAAGUUAAUACCUUGCUGUUUUGACGUUACCAACAGAAUAAGCACCGGCUAACUUCGUG
rnacentral:rRNA from 1 species